GGGUGGGUCCGCGCGCGCCGCGGGCUGCGCCGCUCGGCUGGGGUUGGCUGCGCGGGCUCACGGAGGAGGACGGACCUGGGCGGCCUCCAGCAUCGCGGCGCGCGCGGCGCCUCCGGGGCCGGUUGCUCCUCGGAAGGCGGGUUUCGGCGAGAGCCUGUGACCUCGGUGGGGCCCGGGGGGUGCGCUAGGCUGACCUGAGCGCCACGCCUCUAUCCGUCCCGGGCUGUCAAGUGAGGGGUGGCCGAGGACCUCGGACGUGACCCGCUUCAUUCAUUCCAGACCAAGUUGCUGAUCUUAGGGGCUUUAAGUUGUCUUGGGUUUUCCGUUGUUCUCGGUGUCCCAGGGCUAGGGCGCAGCUGUGUAGACAGCGAGAGGAAGUUUGAUUAAGGAAUGCUUAUCAUUGUAGAGAGUGGGCGUGUGCUCGUUUUCUCUGGAGGACUUUGAAAUCAGCAUUCCCUCCUUGGCCCUGGCUCCUCCCAAGGUUUUGAAUUAAAAGAAAAUGCAGUCAGUAAAAGUGGGAAGAGCACUGGACUUGGAGGCAGGCACAAGAACCUUUCAGAUCACCCCUGUGACAAAAUCCACCGUGAUACUCAGUUUUCUCAUGUCAAGUGAGAUCAGAUUUAAGAUUGCAUUACCACUGUAGGUGCUAGACCGCACAAGAGGGCUCUCCCCUUACCGCCAUCCAGAUGUCUCUAUGGGAUAAUGGCUUCUUCACUUACCUGCACCCACAUAGAUGCCAUCUUCUCGGCAUAAACGAUUCGUGGGAGAUGGUGUCCGGGGAGGCUUAUGGACAGAGAUGAUGGGGGAGAGGAAGAAUAGAGGUACCACACACAGGUACCUCUAUGCUGCCUACCAAGAACAAGAGAACUUCUGGGCUCAGUGUUCAGUUUUCGGACCACAAAUCGAUGACUCACCAAAAAAAUGACCAGGAUUAAUGAGCACAGAGUGUUUCAUUUGCUUGCUGGCUCUCGCUGCUCUACCUUUUUGAUGAUUCCUGCUCUACACUGUGUCUGAAAAUUCCAUUCUCACUGGAACUUGUAUACGUCAGCAUCAUUAACAACAUUUAGACACAGCUGCAAGCCAGUCUCUUAGCCAAGGUGGUUCUUCUUACAAGAGUGUUUUCUACUUUAACUUCAGUUUAGAGCCACAAAGCCAUGGCCGUGUACCUGUGGGGCUUGAAUGUAUUUGUAGCUUUAUGCUCAUCUCUAGGGCUGCUGUGGUCUGCUGUGGCGUGCCGCGUGGCAGGUGGUGAUCAAUUUGGUAUAGGAAAGAACCUUAUCUUUACCUCUGACUGACAACGAUGCAAGUAUGUUUGAGAACCACUUCUAGACUGUUCUAUGUAUUCUGGGAGAGUCAGACCAUCUGUGUCAACCGACGCUGUCAAGAUGGCCCAGCAGGUGCAAUCACAUGCCACGGAGCCCGAGGACACGAGUUUGCUGUCCAGGUCUGACACAUGUGAGAAAUAACUCCCACAGGUUGUUCUCAGACGACCACCAUGGUGUGCAGAUGCGUGCGGCGUGCACUCGCUCUAAAUAAGUGCAAUAAAAAGAAGAGCUUGUGGUGCAGCUGUUGGCUGAGCAUUGACAACGUGCAGUAACAAAAGUUAUCCACAAAAUCCUCAAGCAAGAAGAAAGACUGUCUUUCCAUGACAGGGGAAGGAGCAAAAUCAGUACAACUGUUCCCUGGACCCAUCCCUAAAUUUGGGCUUCAGGAUAAUAAUGGAAUUUUCACUUACUUGUGGCAGAAGGGUUUUUUUUUAAGAUGGUGGACAAUGGUUCUAAAACCCCCAAAUUCCAUACGCAUCUCAUGUAUCCCAGGCUGGCCUCACAUUUGCUGUAUUGUGGAGAGUAACACUGAACUUGCAAUGCUUCUAACUUCGCCUUCCUUAGCACCAGGAUGCGCACCACAAACUUGUUUAAUGUGGUGAGGAUUGAACCUACGGCUUCAUGCAUGCAAGGCACGUACUCUGCCAAUGGGACUAUAUCUUCAAACCUCAAGACAUUUUCUAUACUGAAUUCUCAUUCUACAGCCUCAUAAAAUUAUAAAGAUGGGAUUUUAACAUUUGAAAAAGAAAAGUUUUUUUUUCCUCCCACUUUUCCACAAGACUCCCUAAGCAUCGCCCAGUGUUUGGCUAUGAGCCUCAGCAUCUGUUUUGAGGUGGUGCUGGAUAGAGCCUCUCAGAGUACAACUUUAUCAGGCUCCUGUCUGCAAGCUCAGUGGAGAAUCAUUCAUAGUGUUGGGGGCUGGCACUCUCCCAUAGGGUAGGCAUUGGUUGGGCCAGGCAUUGGUUGGGCAUUCCCUCAGUCUCUGCUCUAACCUGCUGUCUUUAUCCUUGCACAUCUUGCAGGUAGGGUAAUUUGGGGGCUGAAGUUUUUGUGGGUGGGUUGGAGUUCCCCUUCCUCUACUAGGAGGCUAACCUAGUUAGAAGGUAUCCUCUUCAGUCUCUAUAGCCUCUGCUACUAGGAGUCACUGCUUGAAUCCUCACAUCCUCCCAGGAGCCCACGCUGCCUUCGAUCUCCAGCUUGUCACAGAGGUACGCCCACCCUCCAUUUGUUUCUCUAUAGGCCUUCUGUCCUCUCGCCCUCGCUCUCCCCAGGUCUGUUCUCCACCCUCCUAACUCUCUGCGCCCCCUCUCCUACCUUGUUCCCUCUCUCCAGCCACUACCUCUGUGUAUUUUAUCUACCCUUCCCAAGUGAGAUUUAUGCAUCCUCCCAGGGAUAUAUGCUUAUCCUGUACUCUAUGGCUAAAAUCCCCUUAUAAGUGAGUAUAUACCAUGUGUGUCUUUGUGGGUCUGGGUUACCUCACUGGAUCUUGUGGAAAAGCAGGAGAAAAGAGAAAAAGGACCUGCAGGUGAUAGGAGCUCCACAAGAUAAUCAACAGGGCCAACUAACCAGGGCCCAGAAGGGCUUGUUGAGACUGAAGCAUCAACCAAGGACCAUGGAUAAACUGGACCUAGGCCCCAAAAAGAUAUAGUAAAUAGACAGCUUAGGCUUCAUGUGGGUCCUCUAGUAAGAGAAGUGGGGACUGUAUCAGAUACAGAUACACUUGCCAGCUUUUUGAUGACUCCUCCCUGGUGUGCCUGCCUUGACAGGCCACAAGGGAGGAGGACACGCAUCCUGAUGCAACUGAUGAGCUGGGGUGGAUGGGAAAGGGAGCUCCCCUUUUCUGAGAAAAAGGCAAGGGGAGAAGGGAGAGAGAGAGGGUGGGGCUGGGAGAGAGAGGGUAGGGCUGGGAGAGGAGAAGGGAUAGGGAGACAACCAGGGUGUAAAGUGAAUAAAAAAAAUAAAUAAAACUUUUGAAAAACAGAAAGAAAAAGAAAAAAAGUUUUUAAAUAUUGGAAGCUGGGGAUUGUGUCUGUACCCCAGCACUUUGGAAGCCAAAGCACAUUCAAGGCCAGCCUGAGUUCCAUAGUGAAACCCUCCCUCAAAAAAAAAGUUUUUAAAUCAUAAAUGAUUUUUAAAUGAUGUAUGGGUCAUCAACUGGAACAAACUAACAAGGAAAACCAAGACUCUGCUCUCAUGUCUCUGUUCUUCAAGCUAGAAAAAGAAAAGAAAAACGGCGAGAUAAGAGAGGACAUUCUGUAAUGCAUACCGUACUUUCCAAGGGUUCUGCUUCCCUCCUCGUGGCUCGGCCCUAGGCACCCAGAAGAGGAGAGACUCUGAAGUUCUCAGGGGACUUGCAAGCAGAAGUGGGGGGAAGGUCACAACUGGAGAUGAAAGUCUGCACAUCCCUGAUGUCCCCAUGCUUCAAAGGCAAUGCUGGACCAAAGCAGGGUUGGAAAAGGACACCAUCUUUGAUGUCACAGUCUCUGUUCAAAAGUGCUGUUGCCUGCCCUGUAUUUCUCUCUGUGUGACCUCAGUUGGAUACCAGGUGGGCUCAUGCCAAGGAAACACACACAGUGUGCACCUCAGGAUACAGACCUCCACGAUGGUAACAACUCACAGCAUGGCCAAGAAGCAACGUUAUGAGGCCAUAUAGCAAUCAGUCAUGGUUCCCUGUUGCCGUGUAUCAUGUGUCUCUGGGAUGCGAUGUGCAAAAGAGUGGGUAAGAAAGCGUGGUCUUCAGCUAUGAGUUUAUUUGGAUUGCAUGUUGCAGACACUGGAAUCUUCUCAUCAAGUUACAGAAUUACAGAACUGAAAGAGGAUCCCCUGCUUUGUCACAACAGUCCAUUAUGGAUACUUGCUCCAUCAGUGUUACAUCUGUUGUCACGCAGCAGCACAAAAAUGAGUGACUUGAAUCAGCACCUCUUGAGAAACUCAUGGUUCUGCCUAUCAGCUGUUAGUUCUGAGCUCAGCUUGGAGAGUCUUCUGUGGGUCCUGCCUGGGCUCAUGUGUGUAGCUACAGGCAGCUGGUGAGUCAGCCAGAAGCAGUUUGACCUUUGACGGCUCUAUUAACAUGCCUAGUAGUUGACUUACAGUGCAGAGAAACUUCUACAUUCUCUCAUAGAUGACUUCAAGAUUUUUACUGGCUGCUGGGUUCCAGAAACAGAAAAGAUGGCAACUCCCAAUGUACACACUCUCCCAAAGCCACUUUCACAUUUGCUAAAAUUAAAGAAGAAACUCACACGCUGGGAGAUAAAGUACUAUGAUCAUCUCUUAGUGGGAGGGACAACAAUAUAUUAAUAAAUUGAAUUAUUUGCAUCCUUUUUUGUUUGUUUUUAGACAAGGCAUGUCCAUAUAGCCUCAGUCUCUCAAGUGCCGGGACUAGAGGUGUGUGUCAUUAAGCCACAUUUUUAAAAUGUAGAAACGAGGAUCCUGUUCUACUGGCUUCAUCUAGGAGCUCCCUAGUAUCAGUCUUGCAUGAAAAGAAAGAGACAGGAAUAGGUUGUGUCCAUGGCACAUAAAAGAAGAACGGAAAGCCUUCUUAGGGAAGUGAGAACUUAUCCCAAGAAUGGAGAGUCACCAGAUUGUCCAAGGAUGCUGUCAGUGAUGAGAGGUAAAGUACUUUCAGUGUAACACAUCUCUGUCCCACAAAGAGUUCAACAUGAAAAAGGCUACAAUGCAAAGAACACCAUGCGUUUUCAGUAAAGCAGAGAGAAAUUUAGAGGGUGGAGGGAAUGUUCAUUAUGCAUGCAAUAAAUUUAAGGCCUAAUUUAAACUAGGAGUGAAACGUUUUAUUGUCUAUCUACCUAUCUAUCUACCACUUGCAAACAUGAUUCCUGCAGAGAACAAAAUGGCAUCAGAUCCCCUGGAAUGGGAGUUACAGCUGCCAUUUGAGUGCUGGUAAUUGGACGGUGGUCCUCUGCAAGAACAAGCAAUGCUCUCAGCUGCUGGCCGUCUCCCCAGCACCUCAAAGUGUCUUACAGGUGUUUUUCCUACAUCACUAUAGUAGUUUAGCACAUGUGAGAAUGAUUAAAUGUAACCUUUACUUUCUCUACAUUGAAGAAGCCAGUGUGUCCU